GCGGAUGUGGUGCACGGUGCACUCCUGCAUUUAAUGAUACGAGAGCAACUUGAAAGCAGUGAGACGGGGUUCGACUCCCUGCGUCCGCA